rnacentral:rRNA from 1 species
AGAGAGAGACAUGCGCGCAUAUCAAUAAGCGGAGGAAAAGAAACUAACAAGGAUUCCCUUAGUAACGGCGAGUGAAGCGGGAAGAGCUCAAAUUUGAAAUCUUCAAGGCUUUACCUUGACGAAUUGUAGUUUAAAGAAGUGUUUUCUGCUGAAGUUUUGGUAAAAGUUCUUUGGAAUAGGACAUCAUAGAGGGUGAGAAUCCCGUAUUUGACCAUUAUUUUCAGCUUUGUGAUACACUUUCAAAGAGUCGGAUUGUUUGGGAAUGCAGUCCAAAAUGGGUGGUAAAUUUCAUCUAAAGCUAAAUAUUGGCGAGAGACCGAUAGCGAACAAGUACCGUGAGGGAAAGAUGAAAAGAACUUUGAAAAGAGAGUUAAACAGUACGUGAAAUUGUCAAAAGGGAAGCGUUUGACACCAGUGUUGUUUUCUCGAAAAUCAAUUAAAAAUGGCUCGAUUUUGUAUUGCUGAGACCUUAAAAGCUCACUGUACAUUUUUCGUGUCUUUUUUAAUGCACUUUUCGUUUAACAAGUCAACAUCAGUUUCUUUUGUUGUAAAAGGGUCAUUGGAAGGUGGCUUUCUUUUCGGAGAAAGUGUUUAUAGCCUUUGGCCUCUGCAAUCGAAGAGACUGAGGUCUGCAGCGUAGACUCUUCGGGGUUAGAUACAUUUGUGCUAAGUUAUAGCUUUUUAUAGACAACUUGUUGACUAUAAUUAGUCUUGUAGCUUACUCGCUUAUGCUAUUUUACCUACGCUUAGGAUGUUGAAGAUGUAGCACAUCAU